rnacentral:rRNA from 1 species
AGUGAACGCUGGCGGUAGGCCUAACACAUGCAAGUCGAACGGCAGCACAGUAAUAGCUUGCUCUUACGGGUGGCGAGUGGCGGACGGGUGAGGAAUACAUCGGAAUCUACUUUUUCGUGGGGGAUAACGUAGGGAAACUUACGCUAAUACCGCAUACGACCUACGGGUGAAAGCAGGGGAUCUUCGGACCUUGUGCGAUUGUAUGAGCCGAUGUCGGAUUAGCUAGUUGGCGGGGUAAAGGCCCACCAAGGCGACGAUCCGUAGCUGGUCUGAGAGGAUGAUCAGCCACACUGGAACUGAGACACGGUCCAGACUCCUACGGGAGGCAGCAGUGGGGAAUAUUGGACAAAGGGCGCAAGCCUGAUCCAGCCAUACCGCGUGGGUGAAGAAGGCGUUCGGGUUGUAAAGCCCUUUUGUUGGGAAAGAAAAGCAGCAGGUUAAUACCCCGCUGUUCUGACGGUACCCAAAGAAUAAGCACCGGCUAACUUCGUG